rnacentral:rRNA from 1 species
CGGAGGAUGCAAGCGUUAUCCGGAGUGACUGGGCGUAAAGAGUUGCGUAGGUGGUUAUGUAAGCGAAUAGUGAAAUCUGGUGGCUCAACCAUACAGACUAUUGUUCGAACUGCAUAACUCGAGAGUGGUAGAGGUAGCUGGAAUUUCUAGUGUAGGAGUGAAAUCCGUAGAUAUUAGAAGGAACACCAAUGGCGUAGGCAGGCCACUGGACCAUUUCUGACACUAAGGCACGAAAGCGUGGGGAGCGAACCGGAUUAGAUACCCGGGUAGUCCACGCCGUAAACGAUGGAUACUAGCUGUUGGAGGUAUCGACCCCUUCAGUAGCGAAGCUAACGCGUUAAGUAUCCCGCCUGUGGAGUACGGUCGCAAGACUA